rnacentral:rRNA from 1 species
AGAAUCAACGCUGGCGGCGUGCCUAACACAUGCAAGUCGAACGAGAAAGUGGAGCAAUCCAUGAGUAAAGUGGCGACCGGGUGAGUAACACGUGACUAACCUACCUUCGAGUGGGGGAUAACCUCGGGAAACCGGGCUAAUACCGCAUAACAUCUUUGGAGUGGAAAUUCUGGAGAUCAAAGGAGCAAUUCGCUGGAAGAGGGGGUCGCGGCUGAUUAGCUAGUUGGCGGGUAACGGCCCACCAAGGCUUAGAUCGGUA